rnacentral:rRNA from 1 species
UACGUAGGGGGCGAGCGUUGUCCGGAUUCAUUGGGCGUAAAGCGCGCGUAGGCGGCGUCGCAAGUCGGCCGUGAAAUCUCCCGGCUCAACUGGGAGGGGUCGGGCGAGACUGCGGUGCUGGAGGCGGGCAGAGGGUCGUGGAAUUCCGGGAGUAGUGGUGGAAUGCGUAGAGAUCCGGAGGAACACCAGUGGCGAAGGCGGCGACCUGGGCCUGGCCUGACGCUGAGGCGCGAAAGCGUGGGGAGCGAUCCGG